AACAAAAACCGGACGUAACGAAAAACACUAGUUAGUGAGUGGUUUUAGAAAACAAAAAUAAAUAAACAAAUGAGUAAUAAGUAGAAAAAUAUUUAGCUAAAUUAGUUUAAUUAAUGAAAUAUUAUUAAAAUUUUGUUUUGUUUACACUCUAAGAGCGAACAGAGAAAGCUGUUAUGUCAGAAAAAACAAAAAAGAAAUUUUUUGUUUAUAUUUAAAAAUUUACCUUUAUAAAGUAUUAUUAUUAAAAUAAAAGAGAGUACACAACAACAAUUUUAUCUUAUACUAAAAGAGCGCAGUUACAUUUUAACUCUUCACGGUGACACAUCUCGGUUGCGGACGGGGCUAGAAAUAUUAUUGAAAAAAUAGCAAAACAUAAUUGUUAAAGAAUUAUUAAUCUUUAAGUUGUUUUUCUGUGUGUGUGUAUGUGUGCAUAAUAAGAAAUAGAAAACAAAGAUUUAUUUUAAAUAAAUUAAUACAAAAUUUUCCAUUUAAAUAAAAGAAAUAAUUAAAUACAAGUGUAAUUUGUAGCUGAAAAUUCCCACACUGAAAACAACAACAAUUAUACUACCACAAAAAAAAACAUAAACAAAGGUAGAGAAAACAAAUUGUUUAAUACAGAAAAAGAAAAAGGAAGAGCAGAGGGGGUUAAAGAACAAGCAAAAGUAAUAGAAAAAAGUACUACCUACUGCCUUGUUAAAAAAAGAAGAAAAACAACAACAAUAGCCUAAACGUACAAAGCAAAGUGGUUUUUUUUAUUAAAAGUAACACAUAAAA